AUGGAUCUUGUGCGCGUGAAGCUCUUUCUUCCUCCGGCACAAGAACGUACAAGCAGCAUCCAAGGAUGGACCCGGCGGAAAACCCAUGGUGCCAUCUGCAGGACAAAUCGGUGUGCUAAUCUGUCGAGCUUUCCUUCUGAUUUCAUGGAGAACCUUGUGUGCUAUAUGGGGAAGCAAAGCAGUAGCCCACAACUCCGACUUGCGAUCCAGAUGAAGGCACCACGACGCACCAUGCUGCUCCCUUGGAAGGCCGGCUGA
rnacentral:rRNA from 1 species